UUAAGGAAAACCUCACACAGCAGCAGGAGCAUGGGGAUGAAAAAUGGGCAGAGGUUUCAUCACCAAAAAGGCCAAAGCGGGAGGACACGCAGCGUGGAGCAGAAGAGAUGAAGGGAGCCGGGGAAUCCCUCUGCAUGAUGUAGACUGGUGCAAAACGUUGUGGAAGUGCAUGGCAGUGCUCUGCAGGAUCAUCCUACCCUACCUGUCGCAACCGCACCUGAACUUUCCCCUGACCCGUGCAGAGAGUUGAGAGGGAAGUCAGACAUCCAAGCAUAUAAUUUGGUAUCAACUCUCCCUUUAAAGUUGUAUGCAAUAACAUUUUAACUCAUCCCUAUUUGCACAAAAUUAACACAUGAUGGGUGACGUUUCUAAUAAAAAAAUAGCACAAAUGUUUCCAAAUGCAUUUCCACAAAUCAAGGCUCCUUAUCUCUGUCAGCACGAAGAAGAGCUGCAGGCGCAGAGAUCCUCUGGAUGUCGGCCAGACACCAUAUCUUCCCACAAUGUUGACACUCGGAGCUCUUAACAGCCAGGCUUGGGUUACCGAGCCUCUCAGCCGAAGAUAACUGCUGUAGCGAGGUUUACAUCGGCCAACAUCAAGACUAAUGCGAAAUUCAACGCCUCGAGCUGAGUGGAGCCAUCUCUAAUUAACCCCAGACCAACGCUGCAACCAGGACAGAGGAACUGUUUGCUUGGAGGUGGCUGUAAUAAAGCAAGUUUGACUUUC